rnacentral:rRNA from 1 species
GACGAACGCUGGCGGCGUGCUUAACACAUGCAAGUCGAACGGAAAGGCCCUGCUUUUGUGGGGUGCUCGAGUGGCGAACGGGUGAGUAACACGUGAGUAACCUGCCCUUGACUUUGGGAUAACUUCAGGAAACUGGGGCUAAUACCUGAUAGUAGCUCCUGCUGCAUGGUGGUGGUUGGAAAUUUUCGGCGGUUGGGGAUGGACUCGCGGCUUAUCAGCUUGUUGGUGGGGUAGUGGCUUACCAAGGCUUUGACGGGUAGCCGGCCUGCGAGGGUGACCGGCCACAUUGGGACUGAGAUACGGCCCAGACUCCUACGGGAGGCAGCAGUGGGGAAUAUUGCAAAAUGGGCGGAAGCCUGAUGCAGCAACGCCGCGUGCGGGAUGACGGCCUUCGGGUUGUAAACCGCUUUCGCCUGUGACGAAGCGUGAGUGACGGUAAUGGGUAAAGAAGCACCGGCUAACUACGUG